rnacentral:rRNA from 1 species
GAUGAACGCUGGCGGCGUGCCUAAUACAUGCAAGUCGAGCGAACGGACGAGAAGCUUGCUUCUCUGAUGUUAGCGGCGGACGGGUGAGUAACACGUGGAUAACCUACCUAUAAGACUGGGAUAACUUCGGGAAACCGUAGCUAAUACCGGAUAAUAUUUUGAACCGCAUGGUUCAAAAGUGAAAGACGGUCUUGCUGUCACUUAUAGAUGGAUCCGCGCUGCAUUAGCUAGUUGGUAAGGUAACGGCUUACCAAGGCAACGAUGCAUAGCCGACCUGAGAGGGUGAUCGCCCACACUGGAACUGAGACACGGUCCAGACUCCUACGGGAGGCAGCAGUAGGGAAUCUUCCGCAAAGGGCGAAAGCCUGACGGAGCAACGCCGCGUGAGUGAUGAAGGUCUUCGGAUCGUAAAACUCUGUUAUUAGGGAAGAACAUAUGUGUAAGUAACUGUGCACAUCUUGACGGUACCUAAUCAGAAAGCCACGGCUAACUACGUG